UGCGAGGCCCUCUUUAGGGCCACAAUCAUAUUCCAAACCAAGUUG
rfam:Pristionchus pacificus strain PS312 contig5805, whole genome shotgun sequence.